rnacentral:lncRNA from 1 species
AUGACAGAUGCUGAAUUUCACCACUUAGUGGUGCUUCUGCUCUCUUGUGACAUACUAGGGUAUGAUAACUGUUCCCCUAGCAAGCAGUGUUCUAUGAAAACAGUGCUGCAGUUAAGAGCUCAGUGCUCAGCAGCCCUGCCACAAAUCUGCUUCUGCUCCACACCAGCUCUCCUCCUUAUCUCUCAGUAUGGAAGUCUCAGGCCAAUGCUGUUGAUCAGCCAGUGAAUACAGGUUUUACAGAAGCCUGCAUAGUUGGAACACUUCUCCCCUGCUCUAAGUGGAGGGACAAUGUGAGAAAUCACAACAAAAAAAAUGAGAAAUACCACCAACUAAUAUUUCUGAAAGCUUUCAUGGGAACGCCAACUUUUCCACUUGAGUAUUUCUUCUCUUCAAGCCUUCCUCUAUUUCAGAGUUCAAAGUAGGUAUUGCAAAAUAUGAAUGGGUUUUAUUACUUUGUUCCACCCAUAUUGUUAGAGUUUUUUAUAUCAUCAUCUCUGUUACACAAAGUAAACACUUCUCACUUCCUGCCACCUGGAAGGAUUAGUUGGUGUUUAGGUUUGAACUUGUCAAGGAUCAAAAAUUAGUGACUUUGUGACUGGUGAGCCUGGCACAGUGAUGAAACAAGUUAUUUAGCUCUGUAAUAGACUAGCUAUUUCCAUUGAUUUCUCCUUUUUCUUUUUUUUCCUAUUGGAUCAGUUGAGCUCACCUUUGGACCAGAGCUGCCCAUCUUCCCAUUCAGUGGUUGAAACACUGUCUUUUACAGGAAAGGUCAAAGGGUGCUGAUGAAGAAGCAAAUGCUCAAGGAAACCAAACCUGUUAUUUCCUCACUUUCCCCAUCUAGAUUUGACUUCAGUGGCCAGCAGUAAUGCAGAUAAUAUCUCACAGACCUCACCAUAAACUUUCAACGACACCUGCACUACAAAACACUGCUCUCCUUAAUCAUCCUCAUUGAUCUUGAGCUUAACCACAAAAGAAGCAGAAGUUUAAUUGGAAGAAACUGUAAAGCCGCCUCUUCUGCAACACUGUUCCUCUCUGCUUUUGGACACUUACACUGGGAUGAAGGCUUCAAAUCUGUGGAUGGAACACAUAUCUGAAGGUCCAGCUCCCAUGCAUGGCUGGACAUGCUUCAAAUAUCUCUCAGGUUGUUCAUGGCUUUGAUCACACAGGUUGAAGUCUAGCAAUCCUCUCCAACAUUUUUUUCCUCAUAUCUAUCGAGAAUGACAGA